rnacentral:lncRNA from 10 species
UUUUUUUUUUUGAGACGGAGUCUUGCUCUGUCGCCCAGCCGCUCCAGCAGUGGCUACAAGGGGCCAAAGUACAGCUUAGGCCAUUGCUUCGUAGGAUGCAAGCCCCAAGCCGUGGCAGCUUCCAGUUGAUGUUGGUCCUGCAGGCGUGCAGAAGACAAGAAUUGAGGUUUGGGAACCUCUGCCUAGAUUUCGGAGGCUGUAUAGAAAUGCCUGGAUGCGCCACUGCACUCUAGCCUGGGUGACAGAGCGAGACUCCGUCUCAAACAAAAAAAAAAAAAAAAAAAAAAAAAAAAAGUAAGAAAUGCUUGGAUGUCCAGGGAGAAGUUUGCUGCAGGAGCGGAGCCCUCAUGGAGAACCUCUGCUAGGGCAGUGCAGAAGGAAAAUGUGGGGUCGGAACCCCCACACAGAGUCCCCAUUGGGGCACUGCCUAAUGAAGCUCUGAGAAGAGGGCCACCAUCCUCACACCCCAGAAUAGUAGAUCCACCAACAGCUUGCACCACAUACCUGGAAAAGCUGCAGACACUCAACACUAGCCUGUGAAUCAGCUGAGAGGGAGGGUGUACACUGCAAAGCCACAGGGGCGAAGCUGUCCAAGGUCAUGGGAACCCACCUCUUGCAUCAGUGUAAUGUGGAUGUGAGACAUGGAGUCAAAGGAGAGCAUUUUGGAACUUUAAGGUUAAAUGACUACCCUAUUGGAUUUUGGACUUGCAUGGGGCCUGGAGCCCCUUUAUUUUGGCCAAUUUCUCCUAUUUGGAAUGAGUGUAUUUAGGCAAUUCCUGUACCACCUUUGUAUCUAGGAAGUAACUAACUUGCUUUUGAUUUUACAGGCUUAUAGGUGAAAGGGACUUGCCUUGUCUCAGAUUAGACUUUGGACCUGGACUUUUGGGUUCAUCCUGCAAUGAACUAAGACUUAGGGGGACUGUUGGAAAGGCAUGAUUAUGUUUUGAAAUGUGAGGACAUGAGAUUUGGGAGGGGGCAGGGGUGGAAUGAUAUGGUUUGGCUGUGUCCUCACGCAAAAA